GGGGGCGACUGGUUUCGACAUGGUAGGCAUGAAGCAGGGAGCAAGCCGUGGUCUCCUCGCCACGCUAAACAGGGGUACCGUCAAGUUAAUUGGCAAGAAGAACUACCAGAGCGCUCCGGCGCUCGCCAUGGCUGCUUAAUCGCGCCUGGCUGUCGUCCUCGGAUCUUCCCCGCUCCGAGGUUCGGCAUCAACCCAGGGGAAUGCGCUUCGGCACGUAGCCGGUAUGGCCGAAGCUAAGAUCGAACCGGCUAGGAGCGGCAACGCCUGUCGAUGGGCCGCGCCUCUCCGAACCCUGAGCAUCGACUAAGCUUGUAGCGCCUUGCGGAUCGUCUAGUAUGGACCGGAGUUCGAUUCUCCGCGCCUCCACCA
rnacentral:tmRNA from 2 species